rnacentral:misc_RNA from 1 species
UCUCCGUUGGUGAACCAGCGGAGGGAUCAUUACCGAGUUAUCACAACUCCAAACCCAUGUGAAUCAUACCUUUUGUUGCCUCGGCGGUUCUCUCGUAGGCCGCCGGUGGACACCCAAACUCUUUUGCAAUUAUGUCAAUCUGAGUAGACUAUAUAAAUAAGUCAAAACUUUCAACAACGGAUCUCUUGGUUCUGGCAUCGAUGAAGAACGCAGC